rnacentral:ncRNA from 1 species
UCCAGAUAGUUUCUGGUAAGAGGUGUCAGAAAAGUUACCACAGGGAUAACUGGCUUGUGGCAGCCAAGCGUCCAUAGCGACGGUGCCUUUUUAUCCUUCGAUGUCGGCUCUUCCUAUCAUUGCGAAGCAGAAUUCGCCACGCGUUGGAUUGUUCACCCACUAAUAGGGAACGUGAGCUGGGUUUAGACCGUCGUGAGACACCCUAACUGUUACCCUACUGUUGACUAAUUGUUGCGAUAGUAAUUCUGCUUAGUACGAGAGGAACAGCAGGUUCAAACAUUUGGUUCAUGGAGUUGAUCGAUUGGUCAGUGGUCCGAAGCUAACAUUUGAGGGAUUAUGACUGAUUGCCUCUAAGUCAGAAUCUCACCUAGUCAAGGCAACGAUAACUUUGUUUUCCGGUGUUGGGAGACAAGAAUAUUUUAUAUACGUACAUAUAAAAGUAUAUGUUCUAUUAUAUGGCUAUUUUAAUACGUAAUAAAUUCGCGUAUUGAUUGCUAAAGCCAGAUCACUCUGGUUCAAUGUCGGGGCACAAAAUCACAUGUUUACGACAUGUAUGCUGGUCAACGUGUUGUAUCCAGUAGAGCAGUGUUUGUAUACUGCGAUCUGUCGAGACCAUCCUAUGAUCGGCUGUUUUGU